rnacentral:rRNA from 1 species
UCCUACGGGGGGCAGCAGUGAGGAAUAUUGGUCAAUGGGCGGGAGCCUGAACCAGCCAAGUCGCGUGAGGGAAGACGGUCCUAUGGAUUGUAAACCUCUUUUGUCGGGGAGCAAAGAGAUCACGUGUGGUCAAAAGCGAGAGUACCCGAAGAAAAAGCAUCGGCUAACUCCGUGCCGGCAGCCGCGGUAACACGAAGGAUGCGAGCGUUAUCCGGAUUUAUUGGGUUUAAAGGGUGCGUAGGCGGGCUUUUAAGUCAGCGGUAAAAAUUCGGGGCUCAACCCCGUCCGGCCGUUGAAACUGGGGG